AAAGAUGCUCAAAAUUAAAAAAAAUAUAAAUCAAAAUAUUUUUUUAGCUACUUUCGUCAAAAAGCUAAAUAUUUUGUAAGGUCUCAGUAUGCAUGUCCGCCCUGUCUUUAUCACGCUGUAACACACCAUCUCUUGGGUUUUGCCAUAACAGUAGGUAACAAGGCUUCCAGGCUCUCUUCAACGCCUCCAAGCUCCCCUUUCUCCAAACACAAAAGGAAGACGAAAACUACAAAUCCCCAUCUGCCCAUCCUGCAGUUCCUGGGAAGAGACAGUCCUCAAAUUGUUCCUGCCUAGACCCCUGAAGCCUGGAGAAGGAGAUGGGGACAGCUGGAGCACGGAGCUUUGUUACGAGAACUUAAUAGAAGAUGCAGUGGCCACGUGAGUGCCCGGGGGAGGCGAGGCCUCUGGAGUCUGCGGGUCCCCUGUGCACAGCAGCCGCUGUAUGGCAGGACAAGCCCUCAUCCCGCCUGCAUCUCCAGCUGCGCACCUAGAGAAUCAUUAAAGCCAGUGCCAUGUGGCUGUGUUGCGGGUAAAUGAGAUAAUGCAAACCUCAUAACAAGUGCUCGUUCACCUCGCUUCUCCUCCCUCCCAGGUAUGGGGAGGCACCGUCUUACCAGGGGGAGCCCCGUGCCACCAUCACAUGUUGCGGUGGCCACGCGACAACAUGGAGGACAACUCAGCCAUGCUGAGACAACACAUACAUAUACAGAAAAUGACUAGAAAGAACAACAUCAAAAUGAGUACCUUAGUUGAAUUUGGGUAGAGAAAUUAUAGGUGGUUAUUUUUCUGUUUUUGUAUUUUCCGAGUAUCCUAUUAUAUGGUUAUGUUACUUUUAGAAAUGUAAUAUUUCAUGGCAAACAAGUAUUUUACUUUAAAAUUGCAUUGAACAAAAAGUGUUAAACUUCAAAACCUAAACAGCAUCUUUAUAGAUUCUCUAUCAAAUGGAGUUAAUUUUAAAAUUCUAGAAUAUAUUCUGAAGCACUAGGUUCUUCUUAAUUCUAACACUUAACCUGGGAGAAGUAAUUUACUCUGAGAGCUGCAUUCUUCACCUAUGAAGUGGGGCUAGUUUUAACUCACAGUUGUGAGGAUGAAAUGAGAUAAUAUGUAAGUACCAUGGAGAUGGAUCAUGUUUUGAAAACUUCAAAGUUUGCAAAGAUAUAAAUAUAAACCCCUUAAAUACCAGAAGAAAAAAUUUUAAAUGUUUAGUAGCUUGAACUCCAACAUUAGAUAGACCUAUAUUCAAAUUUUAGCUCUGCCACCGACAACCUGGAUGACUUUGGGCAACUACUUCACCUUCUCACUACAGUACCUUCUCAGCAGUGUGGGGGUAAUGACCACAUGCCUGUGUUGCUGUGAAAAUUAAAUGAGGUAAGUAACUUAUGUAUAGCACAGUGCUUGUCACAAAAUAAUGGCUCAUUUAAUGUUACCAAUUAUUAUAAUCCUCCAUAAAACCACUUCUGCAGUUAAUGAAACUGAAUAUUAUUAUUAACGUCUCAAUCACUGUUUCACAUUAAGAUACAAAAAUAGAAAAGACAUAUUCCCUACCCUUAAGGUUCUCACAGUCAAUAAAAGAAAUGGAAAUAUAUUUCAAAGAUCAUAGGAGACUACAAUAACUAAUAAAAUCAAAUUUUAUAUCUAUUACUAUGAGAAUAAAGACAAAGGGGAACAGGAUUGGUUACAAUGAGGAAUGUAUCAAAAUCUCAAAGGAGAUGAUAUUUUAGUUGGAUCCUGAAAGACUGGGUAUGAUUUUGUCCAUUAAUGAAGGAAAAAUACAAAAUUAAAAAUCCAAGCCAGGCAUGAUGGCACAUGCUUGUAAUCCCAGCUACUCAGGAGGGUGAGGUGGGAGGAUCAUUUGAAUCCAAGAUUUCGAGUCCAGGCUGGGCAACCUAGCGAGAUCCCAUCUCUUAAAAAAAAAAGUCUAUACAGUGCUCAGGCCAUUGAGACUUGUCUCAUCAGAUGGAACACUGAGAGGGGAAAGGCUGGCUGUAAAAAGAAGAAAUAUUAUGAUCUAAUUGUGAAGAGCUUUAUAAAAAUGCCCUGCCCCAUUAUUUGGACUUUAUGCACAAUAGGGAAAUCAAAGGAGGAUUAAAGAACACAAUCAUACCUAAAAUUUAGAAAAAUAACUGGUAAAAUUAGGUUGACUUAACAGUGCCAGGAAAGACUUCCCAGGGAUGACAUUUGGAAGAAGAGUCUGGGAAGGUCAUCCCAGGUGGCGUGUGGGAGACACAGACCUGAGGACCUGCCAAGCGCAUCUCCGGCUUCUGGAGCAUAGCAGAGUGGGGGCAGCGGAGGUGAUGUGGAAGACACGGGCCAAGACAGCGACACCUUUGCCCAGGAAUGUGGGCUUCAAGGGCAAGAGAGAAAGGCCUGCGAUGGUAGAGCGAUCUGAGAAGAUGACGUUGUGGAAAAACAGGGGCUGGAGGAACAGGCAGGAAAUCACAAGAGUGAAAACUCAGCCCAGAAGAGGGAAGAGCAGAUGGACUCAAGAGACAUUUGAGGGGACCAUUCAGUCUAGCCUGGGAGGGAAAAAAAAUGAGUAUGUUCUAUUUUUUACCAUUUUUCUAUUCAAAAAGCACUCACUAUUCCCCUCUACCUAUGGAUUAAAAUGUCAAUGCUAGCAUUCAAGGCCUUCCUAGUCUGACCUCUCUGCCUUUUUAUCCACUUUCCUUACACCCUACGGUCCCUCUACUUGGACUGUCCUCUCUGCCAUGUCAAACCCCAUCUGACGAUUGAGGCCUGACUAAUUCCAUGCCACCCACAAGGCCUUCCGAGCUCUCCUGGUGCCUCUCCCCUCAAACAAAGCCUCCAGUGUUGUAAAUUAAUAAACCCUCAUCAUGUGGUAACGACCCUCUCCUAUUACUAGGUACUACUGUAUGAUUCUUUAACAGCUGUUUACAUUUCUAUGUGCCUUGUCUGUAUGUUUCCUUCAUAGAACUGCAAAGAAAUGUCAAGCACAUGACCGCAGCUAGACAAUCCAAGGCAAGAUGAAUGUCAGAAGAUUUUGGCUUCCUGGAAAAAACUCACCAUGGACUUUGGUUAUUCAGAAUUAGCUACUUCUUCUGUAAGGCUAUCAGGAACUAUGGACCUCACAACAUGAAGGAAAAUAAGCCUUGGCAUCAUUUAAGGCUAUACCGAUGAAGCAAGGAGAGAAAGGAACACUUAACGACAAGCCGCGAUACAAAAGGAGAAGGUGUGUGCAAUCCUGUUUAACAACCUUCGCAUCUUUUGUCACAGUUUAACUUGCGCACACACGUACACACAUAAGUGUUGCGAUAAUCCAACAGACGUCUGCACCCGGCACUGUGGGGUUAAUUCUCUGACUCCCACACAGCAGGUGGUCACAAUCUAACAGCAAUAUUUACUAGGAGAGUCUGACAGCUUCCUAGGGAACAUCCCUAGAGCUUCUAGAAGGAUGCUACACGUGAGAUCUAGAAAGAUGCUACACGUGAGAAAAACGAAUAGUCUGAAAAACUGAAAUGUUUCAGUCAAGCUUACAUGAUUUUAUAAUUUUUAAAAACAAAUCCAAAGAACAGUAUUUUAUUUCAGCGGUCUUCUAUGAGCAAUUUGAUAUACAAAAACUGUUUUCUUAAAAGUCUCAACCAUAAGAAAAUACUUUUUAUUCUUUGAGAUUUCUUUAAAUGUUUUUAUUAUCAACAUCACCUCUCUGUAAUUUGUAUUUAGCUACCACACCUCAAAUUAUUUGCUUUAAUUAAAACUAUAAUAAUUAAAA